ACCAGUUCAUUGCAAAUUAGAAGGGUAAAAAAAUAAGGAAAAAAACACCUACCCUGGAGAUUCGUUUUAUUGCUUGUGUCAUGACACGGCCACUCAGAAGUUUCUCAAACGUGUUUUAGGGUUGGGGGGGUUGGCUUAGUUCUAGUUCCUCUGCCUUUGGCUAUUGGCAGGCCUUUUAUGUUCUUGGAGGAUGUGAGGGAAAUUUAAAUGGAGCUAGAUAGAUCUCAGCGGCUGGUUAGUGUAUUGACUGCAGGUUUCUCAUUUGGGAUGUGCUGUGCUUCGGUGGAAUUUUACGCUAAUUGUCGUGGCAUACUUCCACCUUAAUCGAUGCAUAUUGAUGAUGACCUCCUGUGGUACGACCUCGGGUUCAUUCAGUUCCAUUCAAAAGGGCCAAGAGUGAACUGAACAUGACAGAACAUCCCAAUUUCCUCAGCAAACAAACAAAGGUUUGCUGGAAAAACACAUCAUACUACCGCAGAGGGGGCAACACGUUGUCUUUCCACUCCCAACGGACGCCCACUCAUUCCCAC
rnacentral:lncRNA from 13 species